rnacentral:lncRNA from 1 species
UCAUAUUUGAUAACAUUAAAACCAUACAGUAUACAACAACAACAAAAUUUGGUUUAGUGGUAUAUUAGAAAAAGUAUUUAUAAAAACUCGACAAAAAGCAAAAAAAAAAACAAAAUAUCCGGACUACCCUUUUUUGAGCUUAAGACCUUUUUUCAGAACCAGUGUCUUUCACUAGGUUUUGAAGGGAACAUAAGACUGGAAAACACUUUUCCAUUAGCCGUUUUCUCCUGUUUACUUUUCU